AUUGGCAAGGCCAUAGUCAAAUUUAAAAAUAAAUGUGUUUAUAAUCUGGACAGUCUUCACAAUCAUAGCAACUAUCUGGUUAGACUCUACUGAAGUUACAAUAAAUAAAUAAAUAAACCCAUUGUGUUCCCUCCACAGCUGGUUCCAGAACUUUUUCUAAUAAGCAGUAACAUGGGUGAACAAACAGAUAUACUGAGCUGACAAGAUGACAUGAGCUGAAGUUAUUAAAGAAAAGGGGAAGAGAUCUGCGAGCACACACUCACUUGCGCGCUCUCUCUCUCCUACUCCUUCACUGAAUUGUGUAGUUAUCUCAUAAUGGAGGACAACUGAUCGAUUUUUCACCUGAUAUGAAAUACCUAAAUACUGUACAACAUGCCCUAAGAAACUCAAGUGUUCAAUUUGCUUAGACUUCAUCAGUGGAAGUUUGAGUCGCAAGACUGAGGUCCCCGUUAUGCUGGUUUGCUCUGAAUAUGAGAUUUGGACAUUGGACAAUGACCUAUGAACUGAAUCCUAAAGGAACUCAUUGCAACUACAAAGCUCACCAUCUCUGCUAGGAAUCUGCAUCUCAAUGAAUCGAACUCAUAUCUGUAUGUGUA